UACGUAGGGUGCGAGCGUUGUCCGGAAUUACUGGGCGUAAAGAGCUCGUAGGCGGUUAGUCGCGUCUGCUGUGAAAACUCGGGGCUUAACUCCGGGCCUGCAGUGGGUACGGGCUGACUAGAGUGCGGUAGGGGAGACUGGAAUUCCUGGUGUAGCGGUGAAAUGCGCAGAUAUCAGGAGGAACACCGGUGGCGAAGGCGGGUCUCUGGGCCUGUCCUGACGCUCAGGCGCGAAAGCUAGGGGAGCGAACAGG
rnacentral:rRNA from 1 species